CCAAGGCGGAAGCUCUGGUCCGUGGUGAGAGCAGAGGCAGCUGCAACAAGGGUCGCAGGUGGUGAGUUGGAGGACUAAGGAGGUUUUUCCAGAGCUACAAUAAUUUAAAGACAGCAUCAAGAGAUAAAUAAUUAUGAAUACCAAAGAUUUUGUCGUCAUUCCCUGGGGGAAACCCGGAAGUUCUGUGAAACUAAAAUAUAAAGGUGUGCAGGAACUGCAAAUGGAGAAAAUUCAGCUAGAACUGGAGAACCAAAAGAUGGAAAAGAAACUACGAGAAUUCCAGUCCACAUGGAACAAGGGAAAGGAAGAACUUACGACAAGUGGAUAUCACUGGAAAUCUGGAAAUGUGAGCAAAUUGCGUAACCUGUCAAGGAUGACGUCACAAAGUAAAGGGAAUCCCACCAAGCUCUCUGCUGGAAAAGUGAAAUUGAAGUUACUUAAGGAAGAGAUUCAAGUUCCAGCAAAACAACUUAGUUACAAAAUGGCACAUUCUACUGGCAGUGAAAACCCUAAGACUAAACGGAAAGUUUGUGGACAGUGCGAGAACAAAGCUGCUCUCCUUGUCUGCCUGGAAUGUGGCGAAGACUAUUGUUCAGGCUGCUUUGCUAAAAUGCACCAGAAGGGGGCACUGAAGUUCCACCGAACAACUCUCUUACAGCCAAAAUCUCAAAUCUUAUCCAACAUAUUAAUUGCUGCUCAUCAGUUUAUAAAGGAAGAAAAUCCCCCCAAUGAAGGAAACCAUCCUGCAGAAGCAUCGAGUAAAAGUCAGCAGAAACCCAAAGCCCUCCUUCAGAACAGCUCUGAGGUAGGAGCUACAGCCUCAGAAGGAGGAGAAGGAGAAAACCCAAGGUGCAAGGUCAUGUGGGAAAUGCCUUUUGAUGAAGAAGCAUCUGCCCAGUCCUUCCGAGAAGCCUUGACACAGUGGCGAGCUGGGCAUCAGGAGGAAAACAAGGAGGAGGAAGUGCAUGCAAAAAAACCAGUGUUUAUUUUUUUAGACUCUGUGGAAGAGUGUGAAGUACAAACUAAUUUGAAAAUGUGGACUGAACCAAUUAAUAUCGAAUUCACAGAAGACAGCCUGUCAUAUAUGGAAACAUUAUGGCUCAAAAAGUACAGAAGAACUCCACAGGAACAACUUCGUACCAUGCUACCAAAUACAUUCACACAUCCACAUCAAGCUACUGCAGAGGCACAGUGCACUCAGAAUGAAAAUGAGUCUGACAGUGAUGUUGAAGAGAUCAAAAUAAAAUCUCCACCACUUUUUAUGCCAGUGGAAAAAUUGAAUAUAGAGAGACCUCCACCAUCUCUAACAAUAGUAGAACUGGAUGAUACUCAUGGAGCAGAAUUUGAAGACCCAGGAAUUGCUGUGCCUUACAGAGUCGAAUUGGCUGACUCAGAGAGUCAACUAAGUUCUACAUUUACGGAUUAUCAGACUUGCUUCCCGUGUGAAAAUGAAAUCCAUCACCAUCUUAUUUUCAACAAAGGAAAAGCAGAUCUCUUAAGUCUCUGUUUGAGAACAAAUUCCAGGUAUCACAAGGAUGACAUAAAAGCACAGAUUUUGGCAACACUGUGGAGUCUUGCACUUAUUCUGAUGAAUUCAAAAAAAUAGGAGAAACCACCUCUUUUGAGAAAAAUGAAACAGAGAAAAAUAUAGACCCCCAAAAUAACAAAGACUCUGUUGAUUCCUGCAUGUCACUUGGGAGCAAGGGUUCCUUGCCAACCAUAGAUUCAUCUACAUCUUUCAUAGAGGAGAAUUCAUCUCAAGACACCAACACAUCAUUGAAAUGCAGCAAUCAAAAUGAGAGGUCAAACUUGGGAAAUUCAAAAACUGCAAAGGAACCACUGUUUCAAAAAGUCACCAUUAGGAAAAAACUUAUAAAGGAACGAUAUCAAGGACCCAAGAAGUUUUAUUCUGUUGAUAAAAAUGAAAGACUCGAUGUCUUCCCUUCAUCAAGCAUAAAAGGCAGUCAUUCAUGUUCUGAGAUAACAUCCACAGUUUCAGAAGACAAAAUGUGGAUCCCACUGAGCAGCUUAAGUGGGUAUGCUGGUAGUGCCGAUGCCUUGUGUGAUCAGCAAAGUGAUGAAAAUCCACUUCCAAAUAUGCAACAGCAAAAGUCAGGCCAGAAAUCACAGAGACCAUCAACAGCAAAUAUUCCUAUUUCCAAUCCCGAUCAAAAAGACACCAGCUGCCUUUUGUUCUCUUACACCCGAUCAAAAAGUGCAGCUGCUCAGAUGCCAUCCAGAGCUGCUUCUGAAAUUUCAGAAAUUGAAUACAUUGAUGUUACUGACCAGAGUGAGCUUUUUGGAGGUAACACUGCUGAUCGACAAGCCUUAGACACUUUGGAGAAAGAAUUAAAUAUACUGAGAAAACCUGCAGAUCCUUCAGAAGACCCUCACAGCCUACCCUCAGAAGAGUUACAGGCAUUCAAUGACAAUUUUCUGACUUUAAGUCAGAUGUCCAAAGACCUCCUUGAGAUGUCACGUGAAAGUGACCCCCAUGGAGCUGAGUCCAGCUCUUCUGGAAGAAAUCCUGAAAUACAGCCUUUGCUGUCACUUGGAGAUUACAGCACGGAUGAGGAAGAGGAUGAAUUUCUUGACAAGCAACAUGUCAUUAAACUGCCGUGGGAAAAGAGGGCUUAACCGUUCACUACUCUUCCAUUCUGUACUCAGAAUAAAUCAAACAACUGAAUGAUUAAUUUGUGCAAGUA